GGAAGAGUAUCGUGCACCAUUUAUCAAUCAGGUCACAUACUGGUGCCUUUCGGCCACAAUGAUUACGACUCUGGCGUCAUUAGUGUUUUUGUUCAAAGCAAACAAAGCCUUUGACGAUGAAAAUGUUCGAUUUUUUAAAGGUGAAUCCGAUGAAUACACGAAUGAUCAAUUCAAUAAAUACGUGAAUGGUGUAAUUGGUAAAUGUUUCACCUCGGUAUUACAAGAAAAUUACCACAAAUUACCGCUUGUAUUUCGACGAACUGUCGAGCAAGCAUGUCCUGAUUUUCUUCGUCCAGAAAAUUGGCCAGCUCGCGAGGGCAUGGGGAACGCAUUCAAUCAUCUCAUCACUCAGUACAUAACAAACGUGAAAAAUAACAUCAAAGUAUGGGCAUUCAGUCGCAUCAAGAAAUUUUUCACGCUAAAGCGCUACGAACUGAAUUUGAAUCGACAAGGAAAUCUCGUCACUGAAUUGGAUGUAAAACGUGCGACGAAGAUCGAAAUGUUCCAGAGUAGAGUCGAGAGAAACGCGAACAUCGAUCUUCUAUUAAACGAAGCAGCAGGCAUUGGAUUGCCAAUCAAUGUACACUUCCAGGAUCUCAUUCGUGAUCGCUGGUUCCAAACCAUCCCAAUAUUUAUAAACAUUCAGCGACAAAUUAGCAUAUUAUCAUACAGCGAUUUUCACGCGAAAUAUGAAAUGUUGAAACAACGUUGGUUCCAAUAUCGACGCGAUCCGAACAAUAAUGUCAUGCCGACCACUCCACUCCCGCCAAAAAUAAAGAAUUUCUUAGUAAUUCCAGUCCACGAUUUCGAUAUGGAACAUAUCCGCAUCGAUAUCCAUCUUUUUUAUUUGAUUGCGAGAAAAUUUGGAGCAUUGAAAUUGGCAAAAGGAAAACGCGGUCAGCCAAUAAACAUUGAAAAAACUGAAUACGAUAGCAAUCCAGCUAUCUAUUGGGAUUUAAUAUUUGACCUGCCAAAAAUUUCGAAACUUGGAAAUGGUAAGGAAUUCGAUUUUGCUGUGGCAACCGAUAGUGUGGCAGUUUCGUUAUGUUUCGUGAAGCCUGAACGCAAUACACCAGAACUUGAUAACAACACCAUCAAAGAGAAGUACAAUCAUUUUGAGUUUGAUUAUGUGCUUGGACUCGAUCCAGGAGUUCGUACAUGGAACGCCACCGUUAGCAAACACGUUCGAUCCGGCAACGAGGAAAACAUCACAAUUGAUGGUCCAAAAUACCAUUUCGAAGCGAAAUAUGGCAAACGCAAGCGUAAAUCCGAUCAAUGGACUGAAUUUUUGCAAAAACAACGGGAGCUCGACUAUAAACGCUAUGCAUUUUUUCCAUCGCCGAGGGGACGUUCACAUUGGAUGUGUUACAUCGCUUAUUAUGUGAAAAUUAUGAAACCAGCUAUGGCGGUGUACACAACACGAAAGUUCAUUCGACUCCGUCUCGAUAAAUACAUCGAAGAGAAUCGGGCCAGUGACAAAAUCGCGGCAUCACUGACGAAAAAAAAGUCGGCGCUCGUUUUUAUUGGUGCAGCUCAAAUAGCUCCAAACUCACCAAUUGGUAUUAAAAAGCGAUUGCGAUGCCCGGGAUUACGACGACUAUUGAACAGUUUCAGGUCGACGAAUACAAUACAUCGCAAACUUGUGCAAAAUGUUUCCGGCCAUUCGAUCGACGAACCAAAAGCGAUCGAUACAAAGUUUGUCAGCAUUGUAUUCCAAGUGAAGAUGAGUCAUCGCAAUAAAAUUUACCGAACGUGAUUAUCACCAUGAAAAGCAACCGAGUGUACCAACAAUUGCGUAAAUAUAUUGAAUGCAGCCAACCCAGAUCAUAUUCCAAUGGAUUCAGAUGGUUUAGUGUCAAAACUUCAAGUAUGUUUCAAAAACUGGCAACUAAACACUGGCAUUUGGAAAGAUGAUCGAGCUCCAUUUCAAUUGAAAACUGUUUGGCACCGGGAUAUCGUUGCAGCCAAGAACAUCAUGUACAAAGGUCUUUGUACGGUGUUGGGAUUGGACAUUCAUCUGCAACUAUUGAGACCACAGAAUCAAAAUGCUGCCGUACAAAAUCAAGCAGCUGACGAUGAGGAUUCCAGUGACGACGAGGACUACGUUUAUGUUCUCGAUGUUUCCGAUGACGACCAGUUUUAAUUACAUGUAGCAUUAAGAUUUCUUUUUAAAUAAUAUUAUUGUAACGUUUUGUUACUAUGCUGGGCUUGAGUUUUGUGGCCUUGACCGAAGUACGGGCAGUUCGGUAUAUAAAAUAACCCGAAGCUGAGAUCGUGAUGUUUGUUUACUAUACUAUCGCUUUUGUGUAUGAUUUGAUUUGUCCCUUUGUUAACCCUAAAACCGUCCUUCUGCAAUCCACCUUUGGGGGCACUCAGUGCCCGUAGUGUAAUUUGUAUGAAAAAAUUAAAAAAUUUGGAAAAAAAAAUUUAGAAUUUUUCUCGAUAUUUUGAGAAAUCUUGUGUCUAAUCGUAAACUAAAGACAUGAAUGUGCGCAUCGGGUCGGCAGCUACGUUUUGUUUACUGUGCUGACAAAAUAUAAAAAAUAUUGGCUGAACAAAGUUUUGCAGUGCCUAUGAAUUGGACCAGUUUCAUUUGCAAAAUGGCAUUUUACACUGUUUGCCUUUAAGUUUUCUCUGUUAAAUUUAUCUGAGUAUGGGAAGUCACAUAUAAAUGAAUAAAAAAAUGAACUGAACACGAGACAUGUUUGUUGUGUAUAUGUAAAAGUAAAUCAAAGCAAUUCAAUGUAAAACACAACUUCGGCACAAUUUGUUUAUAAUAAAUUAUUAUUCUUAUUUGAAUGUCACACGGAACACCGAACAACGUAACAAGUAUAUAUAUGUUUGUAUAUGAGAACAAUCGAUUCAUUCGUGCACAAACAUUUUUUACAAUUCAGCAAUUUUCCCAUACAAAAUAUAUGAAAAUAUACGUCGGGCACUGAGUGCCCCAAAGACGAAAUGACUAUCUUUUUUUUGCCGGCCAUUUUUUCGAAAACCAUGGCGUGAAUUGAUGCAUAUUUUAUAUUUUUGAGUAUAGGAACAGAGGCCGAAACACGAAAAAAAUCGGGGUUUAGUGAUGUUUGAUGAAGAAAAUGGUUUAAUUUUAGUUUGAAAUUUUGCUCGGACACUGAGUGCCCGAUGGACGGUUUUAGAGUUAAAUUAAGUUGUUUUUAUGAUGGAUAUACAUCCUACUAUCACUUCUAUGAUACAUGAUUAUUAUUCAAAAACAUUGUGUUUUAAUGAAUUUUUCGUUUUCUCUUUUGUUAUGCAAAUAAAGUGAACUCAAUAAAAAUUUCUUCUCCUUCUUUUACAGUUAAAAAGCUCAAGCUGAAUUAAAUUAGUUGUUAAAAGAAAAAUAACGC